rnacentral:rRNA from 1 species
GACGUAGGGCGCGAGCGUUGUCCGGAUUUAUUGGGCGUAAAGAGCUCGUAGGCGGCUUGUCGCGUCGUCCGUGAAAACUCACAGCUCAACUGUGAGCUUGCAGUCGAUACGGGCAGGCUAGAGUUCGGUAGGGGGAGACUGGAAUUCCUGGUGUAGCGGUGAAAUGCGCAGAUAUCAGGAGGAACACCGGUGGCGAAGGCGGGUCUCUGGGCCGAUACUGACGCUGAGGAGCGAAAGCGUGGGGAGCGAACAGG